GAUGAACGCUAGCGGCAGGCUUAAUACAUGCAAGUCGAGGGGCAGCACGGUUAGCAAUAACUGGUGGCGACCGGCGCACGGGUGCGUAACACGUAUACAAUCUACCUUAAACAGGGGGAUAGCCUUUCGAAAGAGAGAUUAAUACCCGUAAUAAAUUGAACGGCAUCGUUUGAUUUUGAAAGCUCCGGCGGUUUGAGAUGAGUAUGCGUCUGAUUAGCUAGUUGGUGAGGUAACGGCUCACCAAGGCGACGAUCAGUAGGGGAUCUGAGAGGACUAACCCCCACACUGGUACUGAGACACGGACCAGACUCCUACGGAGGCAGCAGUAAGGAAUAUU
rnacentral:rRNA from 1 species